UUGUCUGCUUCCUACACUGCAUCCUGGUGCCAUCCGUUCCCCAGGGAAUCGACACACACAUACUCGUCCAUCUACUUGAUGUAAGAGGAAAUGGGACGCAUGAGAAGAGGCAAAUUCUUCCACUGGUCCAAGGUCCAGUCCCAAUUAUCGGGUGUCCAUUGCAGGUGCUUUUCCCAGUGGAGACGGAUCUUCAAUAUUAUCACCAUGAGAGAUGCCAAGUAGCUGUCUAAGAAUGUCAGAGAGAAGAUUGUUGACCUUGACAAAGGUGGAAUGGGCUACAUGACCUUCAGCAAGAAGCUUGGUGAGAAAAUGACAACUGUUGGUGGAAUUAUUUGCAAAUGGGAGAAAGAGAGAAUAAAUGUCAGUCACCCUGGAUCUCAGGCCCCAAGGAAGAUUUCAUCUUGUGCGGCAUCAAUGAUCUUAAGAACAGUGAGGGCUAACCCCAGAACUACACGGGAAGAGCUCGUUAAUGAUCUCAAAGCAGCAGGAACCUCGGUCGCCAAGAAAACUAUUGGUAAUACAAUUAUAGUUUGAAAUCCUGUAGUGCUCACAAAGUACCCCUGUUCACGAGGGCCCAUGUUCAGACCCAUGUGAAGUAUGCCAGUGAACACCGGAAUAAUUCCAAUGAGGCUUGUAAGAAUGUGAUGUGGUCAGAUGAGACCAAAAUCGAGCUGUUUCGCAUCAACUCUACUCGUUGUGUUUGGAGGGAAAAGAAUGCUGACUGUAACCCCAGGAACACUAUCCCUACUGUCAAACAUGGAGGUGGAAGCAUUAUGCUUUGGGGAUGUUUUUCUGCCAAGGGGACAGCUGCACUGCAUCGAAAGAAAGAUGGAUGGGGUCAAGAGAACCUCCUUCCUUCAGCCAGGGCAUUGUGGGUGGGUCUUCCAGCAACACAACAACCCUAAGCUGCUUCAAGAAGAAGUACAUUAAGGUCAUGCAGUGCUCUAGUCAAUCUCCGGACCUUAAUCCCAUAGAAAACCUAUGGAGAGAACCCAAGUUCGUGUAUCCAAGGGACAGCCUAAAAAUCUUAAAGAUCUGGAGGACAUCUGCAAAGAGGAGUGGAUGAAAAUUCCUGCUGAGCUGUGUGCAAACCUGGUGACCAACUACAAGAAACAUCUGACAGUUGUGCUUGCAAACAAUGGUUAUUCCACCAAGUACUAAAGCAUGUGUUCUAAGGGAUCAAAUACUUAUUUCCCUAGAUAAAUGACAUAUUGGUUUGUAACUGUUACAUAAUGAGUUUUCACCAGAACCAUUUUGCUAGAUGGGCUAUACAUUGUAUAUGGGGGGGGGCAGGCUAGUUUGACUCACUAAGAGUAAUAAUAGUAAUACUCUAUUACAAUAUUAAAACAACAACUGACAGACACUCAUUGGUGAAGCAAAUGUCCACGGGCAGCAGAACCACCAUGAAAUCUGUUUUUAUGUCGUAUAUCGUAAUUUUAGUUCGCACAAAUAAGACCACUCGGAUAUAAUGCAGAGUUAGUGAUUCCUAAAAAAACCCCAUAAGGCCUAUGUUUUAACAUUAGGCAAGCUAAGAAACCAAACUCAACUGAGAAGAGCUGAAUGUUGUCACGCUAAUGCAGGCGGAACCCAGCAGGUGAGCUGCAUCGCAAGUAAUUAGCGAACAGUCAAAAGGAACCGAGAAACCUGGAUACAAUACGAGGUAUUGUUCCAAAUGACUUUAAGCCUUAUCAAGCAUUUUUCUGUCUUUCGUCUGCCCUCUCUCCCUUACCAGGUCUGUCUGCCCAGCGUGUACUCCUUACCCGUUCCCUUUCCUUUCCCCAGAACCGCUCCCGAACCUCACCAGUGUGGUAGAAAAAUUUUAAAUAUAACACUUAGAAUAAAAGUCGGACCUCUCAGUUUGAUGAGAUUAAGGAAAUCUCUUUUAUUCCAGCAAUUCAGCAAAGCGCUCCUGUCACACUCUGGCACUUGGUACCAAGUCACCCGGAGCUCACAGAGCAACCAGUUGAUAAACCAUAACUCCCAAUUCCCGAUAAGGACUGAUUGGUCACAAAACACCAACAAACCGAACUCAAGCGUAUAACAAACACAAUUCUCCUGCUCUAUUGGUUCACCUUGGUAGCAAAGGUAAAAUCCACCCAACAUAUGUAUAUAGAUAUUGAUCAUAUGACGUUGAAUCACUAUUAAUGUUUGGGUGUUCCAUUGAUUAAUGAUUAACAUAUUGACGUCCUUGUCAUUGAAUCACUGCAAAUACAUGGUUAACAUAUGAUUAGUAUGAUUACCAUAAUUACUUAUACAUUUGCACUACCGCAUAGCUUGCUAUAUAUUGUCUGCCACAACUAUUUUAUAAAGCUAUAACUGGCUGUGCACCAGUUGGGGCAGCUUCGAAUCUCCUCCUGCAGGUGGUUUCUCCCCCCGUUUGUUCCGCUGUCUGCCUCUCCAAGGUCCGAGCUUUCCUCAGGGUCUGCGGAACUUACUGCAGGCAGCUAUCGCGAAGCAAGCUCACACAGUAUUCAAAACAAUCUCUUCUUGCCUAAGGCCUAAGACAGAACAGACCCAAUAUGCCAACCUCCCGGGCUACCAAUGUCCAAUUUUACUUCCACACCAGCCUCCCUCGCUGAGAUCGGCACGUCCCGUUCCCGCUUCCUCUUGUGUUCCUGUCCUGUGUCUGCCCGUAGGAUGGAUCUUCUGGCUACUUACCCCUGCUUACGACUACCGACUCCUCUUACCGCUAAUCCCCAUCUGUACCUUUGCUCCAGUGCUCCCAUUAAAGCCGGCAGUUGCCCGCAUACCUGGAUCCGUGCUUUCUUUAUCCGGCCAGCACCACAAAUGUCAAUUUUACUACAUUUAUUCAGAUUUGCUGUCAAUAUCCUACAAUUGUAUUCUCAGCAAACUGAGUCUCCACUCACCUUCAUGUUAACGUUAGUUUUUAGGUUUUGCUUCGUUGAAUUAAUCCGUUCAGCUUUGUAUUUAUUUUUACAGUGUUUAUGAUAUUUAUACAUUUAUUUAUUUUUGGAAAAUAAAUUUUCCCAUCUGACAGGCCCUUUGCUCUGCUGAACAUUGAUCACUGGUAUUGGUUACUACUUAAAAAGUAAACAUGAUUUUGUGUAAUGUAUAACCCUGCUAUCUGUUCUGUGUCAGCAGUAUGUGUUUCACUGCACUCUGAAGUACAUGUCCAUUUCCUACGGCCCUGCACUGAUCCCAAAGUGCAGAAAGUGACGGAGCUUCAGACGCCGUGAGGAGAUGCUUCUUUAGCUAAAUGGAAAUUGAGACGAUUCUUAUCGUGUCGCUCAGAAGACACACUCUCUGGAUUGGGCAGGAAAUACAUGCAAUAGUGAUAAAUAAAAAUAAUGAUACUUCGAA